AGUGAACGCUGGCGGUAGGCCUAACACAUGCAAGUCGAACGGCAGCACAGUAAGAGCUUGCUCUUACGGGUGGCGAGUGGCGGACGGGUGAGGAAUACAUCGGAAUCUACUUUUUCGUGGGGGAUAACGUAGGGAAACUUACGCUAAUACCGCAUACGACCUACGGGUGAAAGCAGGGGAUCUUCGGACCUUGCGCGAUUGAAUGAGCCGAUGUCGGAUUAGCUAGUUGGCGGGGUAAAGGCCCACCAAGGCGACGAUCCGUAGCUGGUCUGAGAGGAUGAACAGCCCCAACUGAACAGAAAAAACGUGCCGAAUACGAACGGAAGCAGCAGUGGGGAAUAAUGGACAAUGGGCGGAAAGCCGAUCCCGCCAUACAGCAUGGGGGAAAGAGGCAUUUGGGUUGUUAAGGCCUUUUUCUGGGGAAAAAAACGAGGAAGUUAAAACCCCGCUGUUCCGACCGUUCCCAAAGAAUAAGCACCGGCUAACUUCGUG
rnacentral:rRNA from 1 species